UAUACCCUUCACAAAAAUGAACUCAAAUGGAGUAUAUGUAAAAUACAAAAUCACAGAGUUCCUGGGAGAUAGCAUAGGAAAAAAAUAACCUUGGCUAUAGCAAUAACUUUUUAUAUACAAUACUAAAGUCAUUAUCAAUGAAAUAAAUAAUUGAUAAGUUGGAAUUUAUAAACUUAAUAAUUUAUGCUUUACAAAAUACAUUGUCAAGAGAAUGAGGGUAGAAGACACAGACUGGGACAAAAUAUUUGCCAAAGAAAUAUCUGAUAAAGGAUUGUUAUCUAAAAUAUACAAAUAACUCUUAAAAUUCAACAAGAAAAUCAACAAUCCAACUGAAAAAUUAGCCAAGGACUUGAACAGACAACUCACGAAAGAAGAUAUGCAGAUGGAAAAUCAAAAUGAAAAUGAAAAGAUAUUUAAGCAUAUGAAAAGAUGUUUAACAUCAUCUGUCAUUAGGAAUUACAAAUUAAAACAACAAUGAGAUACUCCUACAUACUUAUUAGAAUAGCCAAAAUCCAAAAACACUGACAAAACCAAAUGCUGAAGAUGAUGUGGAGCAACAGGAACUCUCAUUCAUUGCUGGUGGGAAUGCAAAAUGGUACAUCCACUUGGGAAGACAGUUUGGCAAAUCUAAACAUACUCAUACCCUAUGAUCCAGAAAUCAUGCUCCUUGGUAUUUACCCAAAGAAAUCGAAAACUUAUGUCCAUGUUAAAACAGAUGUACAUGUAUGUUUAUAGCAGCCUUACUCUUAAUUGCCAAAACUUGGAAGUGAUCAAGAUUUCCUCCAGUAAGCAAAUGAAUAAAUAAACUAUAGUACAAUUUAAAAAAAUGGAGAGAAAACAUGAUUAAACAUUUUUCCAAAGACAUACAGAUGGCCAACAGACACAGGAAAAGAUGUUCAUCAUCACCCGCAAUCAGGGAAAUACAAAUCAAAACUAUGAGAUAUCACUUCACACCUGUCAGAAUGGCUAAAAUAAACAACACAAGAAACAGGAGGUAUUGGUGAGGAUACUGAGAAAGGUGAGCCCUUUUGCACUGCUGAUGGGAAUGCAAACUGGUGCAGUCACUCUUGAAACAACAGUAUGAGGUUCCUUAAAAAGUUAAAAUAGAACUAUCCAGCAAUUGCACUACUAGGUAUUUAGCCAAACAAUAAAAAAAUACUAAUUGAAAGGGAUACAUACAUCUCUAUGUUUACAACAGCAUUACUUACAAUAGCCAAAUUACAGAAACAGCCCAAGUGUCCACUGACUAAUGAAUGGAUAAAGAAUACGUGAGAUGACAGAUAGAUAGAUAGAUAGAUAGAUACAUACAUACAUACAUACAUACAUAAAAUGGAAUAUUGUCCAGCCAUAAAAAGGAAUGAAAUCUCGCCAUUUGCAAGGCCAUGGAUGGAGCUAUAGAGCAUAAUGCUAAGUGGAAUAAGUCAGUUAGGGAAAUACCAUACAAAUACCGCAUAAUUUCAUUCAUAUGUGGAAUUUAAGAAAAAGACAGAUGAGCAAAUGGAAAAAAUAAAGGGAGAGAGACAAACCAAGAAACAGACUCUUAACUAUUGGGAGCAAACUAAUGGUUAGCAGAGGGGACGGGGGCAGGGGACUAAGUGAAAUAGGAGGUUAGAGAUUAAGGAGUGCACUUGUUAUAAUGGGUACAGGAUGAUGUAUGGAAGUGUUGAAUCACUAUAUUGUACACCUGAAACUAAUAUUAUAUUGUAUGUUAACUAACUGGGAUUAAAAAAUUUUUUAAAUAAAUAAACUAUAAUAUAUCCAGAGAAUAGAAUAAAAUAUUCAAUGCUAAAAAUAAAUGAGCUAUCAAACCAUGAAAAGAAACAGAUGAAGCCUAAAUACAAACACUAUGUUGCAUACAUGAAAGAAGUCAAUUUCAGAAAGCUACAUAUUGUAUAAUCCAACCAUGUAACAUUCUAUAAAGGUCAUAACUAAAAACAGUAAAGAGUUCAAUGGUUGUAGGACAUAAUGGGGAUGGAAAAGAUAAAUAGGCAGAUCACAGAAGAUUUUUUAAGUCAGUGAAAUAUUCUACAUGAUGUUAUCAGGGUGGUUCUAUGUCAUUAUACAUUGUCAAAAACCCAAUAUACAAAACCAGGAUGUAAACUAUGGACGUUGGACGAUAAUGAUGCGUCCAAGUAGGUUCAUCAAUCAUAACAAAUGUACCUGUGUGGUGUAGAACUCUAUAUUUUCUACUCAAUUCUGCUGUGAAUCUCAAAUUGCCUAAAAUAUUUUUUUAAAAAAGGAUAUUUUCAGUGCUAUGCAA
rnacentral:lncRNA from 1 species